rnacentral:misc_RNA from 1 species
UUUUUUCAAUUUAUGAUGUCACAUUUGCUAUUUUGAAUUGUGUCUUCGUCCAUCAACUUUUCAGCUCAGCUUAUUUAACAUAAUCACAUCUUUCAGGUCAAUUUCCCCAUAAGCGUACAUGACAACUUAUUCAAACAUGUCAAACAUCGAUUUGAAUGGCCUCUCCAUUCUCCAACAUCAGUUAAAAAAGCAAAUGUGACAUCAUAAAUUGAAAAAAA